rnacentral:rRNA from 1 species
CCUACGGGCGGCAGCAGUGAGGAAUAUUGGUCAAUGGCCGGAAGGCUGAACCAGCCAUGCCGCGUGAAGGUCAGUGCCCUAUGGGCGUUAAACUUCUUUUGUGCGGGAGCAAUAAUGGUCACGUGUGGCCAGACGAGAGUACCGUACGCAUAAGCAUCGGCUAACUCCGUGCCAGCAGCCGCGGUAAUACGGGGGAUGCAAGCGUUAUCCGGAUUUAUUGGGGUUAAAGGGUGCGUAGGCUGUGAGGUAAGUCAGCGGUGAAAUGCCCCCGCUCAACGGGGUGAAGUGCCAUUGAUACUGCCUUGCUGGAAUGCGGAUGCCGUGGGAGGAAUGUGUGGUGUAGCGGUGAAAUACAUAGAUAUCACACAGAACACCGAUUGCGAAGGCAUCUCACGAAUCCGCGAUUGACGCUGAUGCACGAAAGCGUGGGUAUCAAACAGGAUUAGAUACCCGGGUAGUC